rnacentral:rRNA from 1 species
AGAGUUUGAUCCUGGCUCAGAUUGAACGCUGGCGGCAUGCCUUACACAUGCAAGUCGAACGGCAGCACGGGAGCAAUCCUGGUGGCGAGUGGCGAACGGGUGAGUAAUGUAUCGGAACGUACCUUUCAGUGGGGGAUAACGUAGCGAAAGUUACGCUAAUACCGCAUAUUCUGUGAGCAGGAAAGCAGGGGAUCGCAAGACCUUGCGCUGAUUGAGCGGCCGAUAUCAGAUUAGCUAGUUGGUGAGGUAAAGGCUCACCAAGGCGACGAUCUGUAGCGGGUCUGAGAGGAUGAUCCGCCACAUUGGAACUGAGACACGGUCCAGACUCCUACGGGAGGCAGCAGUGGGGAAUUUUGGACAAUGGGCGCAAGCCUGAUCCAGCCAUGCCGCGUGAGUGAAGAAGGCCUUCGGGUUGUAAAGCUCUUUCAGCCGGGAAGAAAACGCAUGGGUUAAUACCCUGUGUGGAUGACGGUACCGGAAUAAGAAGCACCGGCUAACUACGUGCCAGCAGCCGCGGUAAUACGUAGGGUGCGAGCGUUAAUCGGAAUUACUGGGCGUAAAGCGUGCGCAGGCGGUUUGUUAAGAUAGGCGUGAAAUCCCCGGGCUCAACCAUGGCAUUGCGUUGGGAACUGCGGGACUUGAGUCACGGAGAGGGAGCUGGAAUUCCAGGUGUAGGGGUGAAAUCUGUAGAUAUCUGGAAGAACACCAGUGGCGAAGGCGAGCUCCUGGCCGAUGACUGACGCUGAGGUGCGAAAGUGUGGGGAUCAAACAGGAUUAGAUACCCUGGUAGUCC